CGCACAGCGUACGGCGCGCGAGGUGGUGUUAUCACGAGACGAACCCGGCACGUCCGUAUCACAAACAAAACCUCUGGCAACUGCCAGAAGAGGUCAACCCGGCGCGCCUCUGCCUACCUUCCUCCUCCGCGACGCUUCACCUCGUUUCUCCCAUCGCUCGACGUCAUCCA
rnacentral:lncRNA from 1 species